rnacentral:rRNA from 1 species
CGGAGGAUCCAAGCGUUAUCCGGAAUCAUUGGGUUUAAAGGGUCCGUAGGCGGUUUAGUAAGUCAGUGGUGAAAGCCCAUCGCUCAACGGUGGAACGGCCAUUGAUACUGACUAAACUUGAAUUAUUAGGAAGUAACUAGAAUAUGUAGUGUAGCGGUGAAAUGCUUAGAGAUUACAUGGAAUACCAAUUGCGAAGGCAGGUUACUACUAAUGGAUUGACGCUGAUGGACGAAAGCGUGGGUAGCGAACAGGAUUAGAUACCCUGGUAGUCCACGCCGUAAACGAUGGAUACUAGCUGUUGGGGGCAACUUCAGUGGCUAAGCGAAAGUGAUAAGUAUCCCACCUGGGGAGUACGGGCGCAAGCCUG